rnacentral:rRNA from 1 species
GACGGAGGGGGCAAGCGUUGCUCGGAAUUACUGGGCGUAAAGGGCGCGUAGGCGGGAUGGCAAGUCGGUCGUGAAAGCCUUCGGCUCAACCGAAGAACGUCGGCCGAUACUGCCGUUCUUGAGGGAUGCAGAGGAGACUGGAAUUCCCGGUGUAGCGGUGAAAUGUGUAGAGAUCGGGAGGAACACCGAUGGCGAAGGCAGCCAUCUGGACCGACACUGACGCUGAGGCGCGAAAGCGUGGGGAGCAAACAGG